rnacentral:rRNA from 1 species
AAGAAAGUAAGAAAGGGCGUAUGGCGGAUGCCUAGGCUCACGGAGGCGAUGAAGGACGUGAUAAGCUGCGAUAAGCUUCGGGUAGGUGCAAAUAACCCUUGAUCCGAAGAUUUCCGAAUGGGACAACCUAGCCGUCUGAAGGACGGUUACUCUUACCAAGUAAGAGAGCUAACGCAGGGAACUGAAACAUCUUAGUACCUGCAGGAAGAGAAAAUAAAUGAAUGAUUCCCCCAGUAGUGGCGAGCGAACGGGGAACAGCCCAAACCAGUGGCGUCGCAAGGCGUGGCUGGGGUUGUAGGACCGCGACAUUGUAUGCAAAUCGUGAACAGAACACUUUGGAAAAUGUGACCAUAGACGGUGAUAGUCCAGUAUGUGAAGCGAAAUGCAGCAUAGCGGUAUCCUGAGUAACGCGGGACACGAGGAAUCCUGCGCGAAUCUGCCGGGACCAUCCGGUAAGGCUAAAUACUCCCGUGAGACCGAUAGCGAACGAGUACUGUGAAGGAAAGGUGAAAAGAACCCCGAGCAGGGGAGUGAAAUAGUUCCUGAAACCAUACGCCUACAAGCGGUCGGAGCAUCGUAAGAUGUGACGGCGUGCCUUUUGCAUAAUGAUCCUACGAGUUACCGUCACUGGCGAGGUUGAGUGUCAUGAGACACGUAGCCGCAGUGAAAGCGAGCCUGAAGAGGGCGCACAGUCAGUGGGGGUAGACGCGAAACCAAGUGAUCUACACUUGGCCAGGAUGAAGUCCCGGUAACACGGGAUGGAGGUCCGCACCAAUAAGCGUUGAAAAGCUUCUGGAUGAGCCGAGUGUAGGAGUGAAAGGCCAAUCAAACUUGGAGAUAGCUCGUACUCCCCGAAAGGCAUUUAGGUGCCGCGUCGGAUGGUCACCGUGAGAGGUAGAGCGACCGAUAGGACAAGAGGGCUUCACCGCCUAUCGAGUCCUGACGAACUCCGAAUGCUCACGGUCUGCAGUCCGGCAGUAAGGGGGCGGGUGCUAAGGUCCGUCCCCGAGAGGAGAAGAAUCCAGACCGCCGUCUAAGGUCCCGGAGUUCUGCCUGAGUUAGUCUAACGAAGUCUGGUCCCUAUGACAGCUAGGAUGUUGGCUUGGAAGCAGCCAUUCAUUCAAAGAGUGCGUAACAGCUCACUAGUCGAGGGUCCGGGCAUGGAUAAUAAUCGGGUAUAAGGCAGACACCGAAGGCGCGGGAUAGCAAUUAUAAAAGUAUCGGUAGGGGAGCAUACUCACAGCGUCGAAUGGUGUACGUAAGUUAUCCUGGAGCGGUGAGUAAAGCAAAUGUAGGAAUAAGUAACGAUAAGGAGGGUUAGAUUCCCUCCCGCUGUAAGACCAAGGUUUCCCGGGCAAUGCCAAUCAGCCCGGGGUCAGUCGGGUCCUAAGUCUAAGCCGAACGGCGAUGGCGAUGGCAGAGACGGUUAAUAUUCCGUCACUGCCGCAUGGGGCGA